rnacentral:pre_miRNA from 1 species
GAUGCAUGUUGCGGGCCAAUGUUUACCUGUGUAUAUUCAAAAUUGCCAGGCCGCGUUUGGCCAGCGAUUUGCUGU